rnacentral:rRNA from 1 species
AACGGCAGCACGGGAGUAAUCCUGGUGGCGAGUGCCGAACGGGUGAGGUAAUAUAUCGGAACGUGCCCAGUCGUGGGGGAUAACGCAGCGAAAGCUGUGCUAAUACCGCAUACGAUCUCUGGAUGAGAGCGGGGGACUCGCAAGAGCCUCGCGCGAUUGGAGCGGCCGAUAUCAGAUUAGCUAGUUGGUGGGGUAAAGGCCCACCAAGGCGACGAUCUGUAGCUGGUCUGAGAGGACAGACCAGCCACACUGGAACUGAGACACGGUCCAGACUCCUACGGGAGGCAGCAGUGGGGAAUUUUGGACAAUGGGCGAAAGCCUGAUCCAGCAAUGCCGCGUGAGUGAAGAAGGCCUUCGGGUUGUAAAGCUCUUUUGUCAGGGAAGAAACGGUGAGGGCUAAUAUCCCUUGCUAAUGACGGUACCUGAAGAAUAAGCACCGGCUAACUACGUGCCAGCAGCCGCGGUAAUACGUAGGGCGCAAGCGUUAAUCGGAAUUACUGGGCGUAAAGCGUGCGCAGGCGGUUUUGUAAGUCUGUCGUGAAAUCCCCGGGCUCAACCUGGGAAUGGCGAUGGAGACUGCAAGGCUAGAGUUUGGCAGAGGGGGGUAGAAUUCUACGUGUAGCAGUGAAAUGCGUAGAUAUGUGGAGGAACACCGAUGGCGGAGGCAGCCCCCUGGGUCAAGACUGACGCUCAUGCACGAAAGCGUGGGGAGCAAACAG